CAGUAGCCGCGGUAAGACAGAGGAUGCAAGCGUUAUCCGGAAUGAUUGGGCGUAAAGCGUGCGUAGGCGGCUAAUUGAGUCGGAUGUGAAAUCCCCGAGCUUAACUUGGGAAUUGCAUUCGAUACUGGUUAGCUAGAGUGUGGGAGAGGAUGGUAGAAUUCCAGGUGUAGCGGUGAAAUGCGUAGAGAUCUGGAGGAAUACCGAUGGCGAAGGCAGCCAUCUGGCCUAACACUGACGCUGAGGUACGAAAGCAUGGGGAGCAAACAGGAUUAGAUACCCCAGUAGUCCCUGUCUUUUAUAC
rnacentral:rRNA from 1 species